GUUUAACAGAGACAGGCAGAAAUUUAUUUCACUCCUCAUAUCGAGUCUGAAACAACAAAAGAAAGGAAAGCUUAUGUAUAGGCAGAAGCGGCAUGUAAAGGUCUCUGAUUCUGCAUUGUCAGUCGAACAAAAUGGUGGUUAUAAUGCACAAGGGGCACUGGAAAGAGCUUAAUAUGAAAGAAAGUGCAUCACAGUGUCCAAAAUGUUGUCAUCAGAUAGUCGAAACUGAUCACCACUUCUGCAGGAGGCAAAGAAAAAGGCGAAACCAAAACUUUCAAGUGAAAUGCCAACAUUCAGAGAAACUUGAUACUCUGAAAUGAACUUAGGCUCCUCAGAGAAAGAGGCGGAGCAUUUUUUUUAAUGUUUGAGUUGUGCACCAUUCUUCCCAAAUCAUCCUGUAAAUGCAAGUAUUUCUGAGUGUUUCUAUCAUGAGUGUUUCAAAGAGGUUGGCAGAUGGGUGAAUCAUGCUGAAUUCGAAGAGACCAAAAGGAAACAAAAAGCAUGCCUCUAUAUGAUGUCUUGCACAGUCAUAGGAUGUCCUAAUGUGCUUGAUAUUCAUUGAAGUAAUUUUGAACAAUUCUUAUGUUAAAACUGUGACAACCAAUUUUUGCACAGAAAGGCUGAACAAACAAUCAUAUGCCAAUGACCAGAUAAAUCUGUUUCUGGUGAUGUAAGUUGAGGGAUAAAUUUUGGCUAGAAUUCCAAGGAAAUCACCUCUGCUCUUUAAAAUAGUUGUAAAGGUCUUUUGUCUUUGAGGGAAUAGAUGGAGCAUUGUUUUGUUGCCUCAUCCAAAAGAAUUAGAUUUAGAAUUAGGUUUAUUGUCACAUGUACUCAAGUACAGAAGUACAGGAAUACAGUGAAAAUUGUACAACGUCGCCUUGCCUGGCUCCAUUUUAGGUACAAAUGUACCUGUACAAAAUUGGGUAUAAAAUAGAAAAGUAAAUAAAUAAAAGUUCAACAUUAGAAUUCUUCUGUAGCCACGAGCCUGCAGUUGCUCCAUGCUGAGCUUUACCCACAAGGUCUUACUCUCUCCCAAAUUGGGCCUACACACCCCAUGAGGGCAUGCUGUCCCCCAUGCUGGGCUGAGUCCCUCAACACUGACAGCCAUCUGGGCUCACCAUUUGGGCUUGCCAGCCACCUCGCCACCAACUGCCAUCUGGACUCACCAUCUGUUUCCCUGCAAAUUGCCUCCCGGCUCGUCGCUGCUUUGUUACAGAUCUUAAUCCAGGCUCACCAGCUGCUUCAUCACCGACCACCAUCCAGGCUCACCAGCUGCCUUAUCACUGACCACCAUCUGGGCUCCUCAACAGCUGCUGUUCCUCCGCCAACCAUCAAAGCCCUGCCGGCCCCAGUUGUUGCCGUGCUCUGAACUCUAGAGUCCAAUGCCAUCGCCGCCGCUGCCUCCAUGACUAAGCUUUCUCCAGAAAGUAAAUAAAACUAAAUAUGGCUUCUCUGACAGAACCACUCCUUCUGUAUGUCAUUGCAGUGCUUAGAUUCUGGUGUACACAUCUGUCGAGUAGAAGUUGAAGCAACAUCUUCUGAAUCAGGAGAGA